rnacentral:lncRNA from 13 species
AUAUAUUUAUGCUUAACAUUUAGUACUUUGCUGAUCUUACAAGAGUCAGCUUUCAUGUUGGCAGAGUUGGUUGAGCACCACAUGCUGCCCAGAGCUCCUGUGGCCCCCACGCCACUCUAGAUGGCCAUCAGGACCAGCCAUCUCAAAAUCAGAGAAUCAUAUUUCUUUUCCUGGGAUGUUAAGAAUCCCUUGUUAAUGUGCAAGUACCCCUGGAAGAGUUAAUACUGAAUCUUGUGCUGUAUUAGCUAUAAACACCCCAGUAAGUAGGGGUCUUGGUCUACAUUUCCCCACGAGGGGUAAUGUACUGAGAAGUGAGGCACCAAAGUUCAGUUUUGCCUAUUUAACAAUUUUGUUCAAAGCCGAACCUGAGUAUUACCAUGAAUAAUAAGUGAAAAUAGCUCAAAUUCCAUUAGUAACAUGAUUCUAGCCAAUAGAUGCUAGACCAGGAGGGGCUGCUAUUAUAAAUCAUUAUUAUUUUAUGAUCAGAAAAUGAAGACACCGAUGUUUACAGCGAGGGAAAAUGCAAGCCAGCUUUUGCCUUUCCUCCUGAGGAAAGUGAUGAACUGAUACGCAUUUAGAAAAUGCUGAGUAUCUUCUGGGUCUAACCAGCGCCAUCCCCUCCUUAAAUGUCCAUAUGUGAAUUAGGCACCUUGCAGAUUUUUUUUAAACUCAGCAUUUGCUGAUCUUAGAAGAAUUGCUGGUGUAAAAAUAUGCCUUGCCUUUGAAAGAAGCCUGUCAUAAGGAAAGGUGUGAACAAAAUGCUUUAUGUUUGACAUAUUGAAAGUGGCUCAUUUCAUUCAAAGGUGUUGAUUUGUCUUUUUUCCCCUCUCUUCUUCUCUUUUUUAUUUCAGGCCCAGUAUAUAAAAUAGUAGAUGGACAAAUACUCUCCUUGGCAGUGCCCACAUUCUUUUUUUCCCCUGAAUUUCCCUUCCUAAUAGGACUGCAGCUUAGCCAACUGGACCUCGGGAAAGUGAAGGGCCCUUCCCAAGUUGUAUGAAAAAUGUGACGCCAUGCCUCAGUGAUUCACAUAGCUAAGCCCAGGAAACACAGAAUGACGUCCCAGAUUUGCAACAUGUU